GCAUUUUGUUCCCAACAUCACCUUUGGUCACCCCGUGGUAGAAAGCCUCCGAAAGCAGCUAGGCCAGGACCCUUUCUUUGACAUGCACAUGAUGGUGUCGAGGCCCGAACAGUGGGUAAAGCCAAUGGCGGUAGCAGGAGCUAAUCAGUAUACCUUUCAUCUCGAGGCUACUGAGAACCCAGGGGCUUUGAUUAAAGACAUUCGGGAGAAUGGGAUGAAGGUUGGUCUUGCCAUCAAACCAGGAACUACAGUUGAGUAUUUGGCACCGUGGGCUAAUCAAAUAGAUAUGGCCUUGGUUAUGACAGUGGAACCUGGGUUUGGAGGGCAGAAAUUCAUGGAAGAUAUGAUGCCAAAGGUUCACUGGUUGCGGACCCAGUUCCCAUCUUUGGACAUAGAGGUCGAUGGUGGAGUAGGUCCUGACACUAUCCAUAAAUGUGCAGAGGCAGGAGCUAACAUGAUUGUGUCUGGCAGUGCCAUUAUGAGGAGUGAAGACCCCAGAUCUGUGAUCAACCUGUUAAGAAAUGUUUGCUCAGAAGCUGCUCAGAAACGUUCUCUUGACCGAUGAAAGCACAAGGAGUCCAGUGUCUCUGCUCAUGAAAUGCUUUUACUGGAGAACAAGGAUAUUGACUACCAACUCAUAUCACAACAGUGCUGCUUUUCUGAGCAAUUCAUUCCAGUGACUAACAUCUGUUGUGCAGAAUGUCCCAAGAGUACCAUGUGUAUAGAAAAAAGAAGACCUGUCAUUUGCUGCACAGGCUUCUGUGUCCUCAUCCUUCAGCGGAAAAGCCCGUCGUUCCCACCACAAAGACUGAAAGAGAAAACAUGCUCAAGUGUACGUCCUCAAUCCACAAGCAAAAAUGAAGUAUAAACAGUUUCUGCUAUCGGUGGCAAGAGACUGGAUAACGGAUGACAAUAAUGAAGGCUCUCCAGAACCAGAGACGAAUUCUAUCCAGCCCUUCCCCUGGGGGUGCAAGGAGAGCACCUCGUAAAGAUCCACCUAAAAGGCUGUCAGGUGAUAUGAAGCAGCAUGAACCUACGUGUAUUCCAGCGAGUGGAAAGAAAAAAUUUCCUACGAGAGCCUGCAGAGUUUGUGCCGCCCAUGGAAAAAGGAGCAAAUCUAGAUACUUAUGUAA